CCGAUGUCGGAUUAGCUAGUUGGCGGGGUAAAGGCCCACCAAGGCGACGAUCCGUAGCUGGUCUGAGAGGAUGAUCAGCCACACUGGAACUGAGACACGGUCCAGACUCCUACGGGAGGCAGCAGUGGGGAAUAUUGGACAAUGGGCGCAAGCCUGAUCCACCCAUACCGCGUGGGUGAAGAAGGCCUUCGGGUUGUAAAGCCCUUUUGUUGGGAAAGAAAUCCAGCUGGCUAAUACCCGGUUGGGAUGACGGUACCCAAAGAAUAAGCACCGGCUAACUUCGUGCCAGCAGCCGCGGUAAUACGAAGGGUGCAAGCGUUCUCGGAAUUACUGGGCGUAAAGCGUGCGUAGGUGGUCGUUUAAGUCCGUUGUGAACCCCUGGGCUCACCUGGGAACUGCAGUGGAUACUGGGCGACUAGAGUGUGGAGAGGG
rnacentral:rRNA from 1 species